AAAGAGGCCAUCCUUCUUAGUCCUGUGCUCAUUCGUAUCUUUAGGCCAUCCUUUUUAGUCCAGUGCGUUGCGUGUGCCAUCUACCCGGCUCUGCAGGAAGUCAACGUACCCUAUGUGCUAGUUCACCUCCCCACCUCGAGCGGGAGGCACAACCGCAAUGUGGUCGUUGCGCGCACCUUAACGACACAACCCUUGGGCCCCGUGCUAGCUGGGCUCCUAAAGUAUCGCAAGCUCUCGCAAAUGCGACAGGCUUCAAGGACUUCGGCCCUCGGCCCGGACCUUGGUCGGUCAUUAAGCCACCCUCGUCGAGACAACGAUCGAUCCACCGAUGGGCCCCCUCUGCYCCCUGCGGGCGGUCGGGCGCCUUGACAGCACCGGCAUCGCAAAGGACAUGCUACCUGGUUG
rnacentral:misc_RNA from 1 species